rnacentral:rRNA from 1 species
GAGUAACACGUGAGUAACCUGCCCUUAACUCUGGGAUAAGCCUUGGAAACGGGGUCUAAUACUGGAUAUUGACAUUUCAUCGCAUGGUGGUUUGUUGAAAGAUUUAUUGGUUUUGGAUGGACUCGCGGCCUAUCAGCUUGUUGGUGAGGUAAUGGCUCACCAAGGCGACGACGGGUAGCCGGCCUGAGAGGGUGACCGGCCACACUGGGACUGAGACACGGCCCAGACUCCUACGGGAGGCAGCAGUGGGGAAUAUUGCACAAUGGGCGAAAGCCUGAUGCAGCGACGCCGCGUGAGGGAUGACGGCCUUCGGGUUGUAAACCUCUUUCAGUAGGGAACAAGGCCAGUGUUUAGCUGGUUGAGGGUACUUGCAGAAGAAGCGCCGGCUAACUACGUGCCAGCAGCCGCGGUAAUACGUAGGGCGCAAGCGUUAUCCGGAAUUAUUGGGCGUAAAGAGCUCGUAGGCGGUUUGUCGCGUCUGCCGUGAAAGUCCGGGGCUCAACUCCGGAUCUGCGGUGGGUACGGGCAGACUAGAGUGAUGUAGGGGAGACUGGAAUUCCUGGUGUAGCGGUGAAAUGCGCAGAUAUCAGGAGGAACACCGAUGGCGAAGGCAGGUCUCUGGGCAUUAACUGACGCUGAGGAGCGAAAGCAUGGGGAGCGAACAGGAUUAGAUACCCUGGUAGUCCAUGCCGUAAACGUUGGGCACUAGGUGUGGGGGACAUUCCACGUUUUCCGCGCCGUAGCUAACGCAUUAAGUGCCCCGCCUGGGGAGUACGGCCGCAAGGCUAAAACUCAAAGGAAUUGACGGGGGCCCGCACAAGCGGCGGAGCAUGCGGAUUAAUUCGAUGCAACGCGAAGAACCUUACCAAGGCUUGACAUGAACUGGAAAUACCUGGAAAACAGGUGCCCCGCUUGCGGUCGGUUUACAGGUGGUGCAUGGUUGUCGUCAGCUCGUGUCGUGAGAUGUUGGGUUAAGUCCCGCAACGAGCGCAACCCUUCGUUCUAUGUUGCCAGCACGGUUAUGGUGGGGGACUCAUAGGGAGAUGCCGGGGUCAACUCGGAGGAAGGUGAGGACGACGUCAAAUCAUCAUGCCCCUUAUGUCUUGGGCUUCACGCAUGCUACAAUGGCCGGUACAAUGGGUUGCGAUACUGUGAGGUGGAGCUAAUCCCAAAAAGCCGGUCUCAGUUCGGAUUGGGGUCUGCAACUCGACCCCAUGAAGUCGGAGUCGCUAGUAAUCGCAGAUCAGCAACGCUGCGGUGAAUACGUUCCCGGGCCUUGUACACACCGCCCGUCAAGUCACGAAA